AAUAUUUUCCAGAACACAGGUAAAAUCUCAUUCAUUCUAAGGAAAAUGUCUUCCGAUUUUUUUUCUGUAAGACAUUUUCCAACUCUCACCAUGUUAGUUUCUCCUUCUUUCUUCCGUUCUUCAUCCCUUCUCCUUCUUCAUCAGGUAACUUUCCUCCUUCUACUUCUUCCUUUCUUUAUCUUUUAUAAUCUCUUCCGUUUUUCCUAAGCUGUGUCCGUCGCAUAUCUUCUCUUGGCUUAAGGUUGCUCAACCACCCAGUGAUUCUGUUUCAAGCCUUAGCUUCAGUCCCAAGGCCAAUUUCUUGAUUGCUACUUCAUGGGAUAAUCAGGUGAGAUGUUGCUAGUACGCCAAAGGCAUCAAUUACUCAUGAUCAGUCGGUUUUGUGCUCAACUUGGAAUGAUGAGGGGAUGAUAGUCUGUUCUAGAGGCUGUGACAAGCAGGUCAAAAUGUGGCCUUUAUUAUCUGGUGGUCAACCAAUGACAGUUGCCAUGCAUGAUGCCCCUAUUAAAGAAGUUGCUUGGAUCCCAGAAAUGAACCUAUACUGGGAUACAAGGCAGUCAAACCUAGUGCAUACUCAACAACUUCUUGAUCGCUGCUAUGCACUCACAGUGAAAUAACCAUUGAUGGUUGUUGCUACCGUAGAUAGGAAUCUGAUAGUCUUUAACUUGCAGAACCCUUAGAGCAAUAUGAGAGGGAUAAGGCUCGAGUCCUUGUUCACUGCAUGUCAGGAAAAAAUAGGUCACCAGCUAUUGUAGUAGCUUUCUUGAUGAAAUCUAAAGGAUGGAGGCUUCCACAAAGCUACCAGUGGGUGAAAGAACGGAGACCAUCUGUUGAUAUAAGUCAAGUCUGGAUUGAGAUCAAAUACAACAUAGUCAGGUCGGACAUCAACUGCAAGCUCUUCAGUGAAGUUGAAAUCACUAAAUAGGAAACGCCAAACUGGUGGAGAUCCUGUAAGUACACAAGAAUUAGUUGUAAAUUACAAGCAAACAAAGAGCUUUGGUAUUUUGUUAGUUUGAUAUUGGAUAUUUGAUUUGGUUGGUUUUAGUAGAGUUUGUUCUGGUAUAGCCACUGUUUUGUUAGUUUGAUAUUGGAUAUUGGAUAUUUUGGUGUUGGUUGAUAUUGCUAUAGGCACUUUGUUAUUGUUGGGUA